ACCAAAGUUGUUCAUCAGGUUCUUUCGUUCAAUAAUCCUUCGUCGCCGCUUUCAUUCUUCGUUGUGGCGAUCAGAGGUUUGAUAAAUGUUCAAUUCCCCAUUUACCCUAAAACCAAAGACGCCAUUCAUCUUCAAUCGUUUUUCGUCGAUUCAAGUUUGAUAAACAAAGAUAAGUGCACCGGUGAGGAAUUGUUUUGGAACGAUCGGACGGGAAUGUGUGAUUAAGGCGUAUCACUUUCUUGUGGAUCUAGGUCAAAAGGAUGAAAAAUCUCAGGGAAUGAUGUAAUAUUUUGGCUCAUAGAUAAAUAUGGGAUCAACGAUGUUAAUGAUGCUACUAAA